rnacentral:rRNA from 1 species
AUUGAACGCUGGCGGCAUGCCUAACACAUGCAAGUCGAGCGAGCGGCGGACGGGUGAGUAAUGUCUGGGAAACUGCCUGAUGGAGGUGGAUAACUUCUGGAAACGGUAGCUAAUACCGCAUUCCAUCAGCUCUGCUCAGGUGGCAUUAGCUAGUUGGUGGGGUAACGGCUCACCAAGGCGACGAUCCCUAGCUGGUCUGAGAGGAUGACCGGCCACACUGGAACUGAGACACGGUCCAGACUCCUACGGGAGGCAGCAGUGGGGAAUAUUGCACAAUGGGCGCAAGCCUGACGCAGCCAUGCCGCGUGUGUGAAGAAGGCCUUCGGGUUGUAAAGCACUGUCAGCGGGGAGGCGUUACCCGAAGAAGAAGCACCGGCUAACUCCGUGCCAGCAGCCGCGGUAAUAC